GCAUAUAAGUAAGCGGAGGAAAAGAAACUAAAUAGGAUUCCCUUAGUAAUGGCGAAUGAACAGGGAUCAGCUCAGUAUGGAAAUCGGGGCUUCCCAGCCUUGAAUUGUAGUGUCAAGAGGUAUCGCCAACGGAGGCGCAGAUGUAAGCCUCUUGGAAAAGAGCAUCAAUGAGGGUGAGAAUCCCGUUUGUCAUCUGCAGUCCCCCGUGCACGGUGUAUCUUCUAAGAGUCGCGUUCCUCGGGAUUGGAGCGUAAAGUGGGUGGUAAAUUUCAUCUAAGGCUAAAUAUGGGUUCGAGACCGAUAGCAAACAAGUACCAUGAGGGAAAGAUGAAAAGGACUUUGAAAAGAGAGUUAAAAGUGCCUGAAAUUGCUGAAAGGGAAGCGAAUGGAACCAGUGCUCUUGGCGAGAUUGUUGUGCGCUAUGGUGAUUGCUGGCUGCUUCAGCGCAAGCGGGGUAGUUGGUACUGAGCCUGCCGCGCGCAGUGUUUCUUACCUUGUGCGUCACCGUCGGUUCACAGGCGAGGAUACUUCUGAGGACAUGGUAACUCUUCCACGGAGGUGUGAAUGUCUUUGGUAAUACUCGUUUGUAGACCGCUCAC
rnacentral:rRNA from 1 species